rnacentral:rRNA from 1 species
UACCAGCACCCCGAGUGGUCGGGACGAUUAUUGGGCCUAAAGCAUCCGUAGCCGGUUCUACAAGUCUUCCGUUAAAUCCAGCUGCUUAACAGUUGGGCUGCGGAGGAUACUAUAGAGCUAGGAGGCGGGAGAGGCAAGCGGUACUUAGUGGGUAGGGGUAAAAUCCGUUGAUCCACUGAAGACCACCAGUGGCGAAGGCGGCUUGCCAGAACGCGCUCGACGGUGAGGGAUGAAAGCUGGGGGAGCAAACCGGAUUAGAUACCCUAGUAGUCC